rnacentral:lncRNA from 1 species
CUGCUGCUGCCCUUUGCUCUUGUGAUAAUCUUAAAUUACUACAAUUUAAUUGCAACUUCAAGGCACUGAGCUGAAAUAUUUUUACACAGCUGAGCCAGGGCUGAAGAGGCUCGGUGGGGUUUUUGCAGGUAGCUGGGUGUCUUUUGGAGGUGCAACAUUUGUUCAGGCCUCUCCUGCACAUCCAGCAUGGUGUGUGCAGGGUCAGGGCACCUGGAGGGAGCUUUCCUGGGGGUUCCCACUGCGGGGGGAGCGGGAUCAGGCCCUGCAGGGCUCGGGUGCACCAGGGUUUUGUUUGCUGUCCGUAUUUAAGCUGAAUUAAAUAGCGCAUUUUAAUCACUCCUCAGAUGAGCCUUGCUGUCAGGUUGCUUCCCAGAGCUUUGCCCUGCGAGCCUCUGCUGGGGAAGCAGGUGAGAAGGGGCUGUGGCUGGAGGGGAAGCCCAGGGGUGGUCAGCAGCGUGGGGACACGGUGGCACCCUGCUCUGAACGUGGCCAUGGGCAUGGCAUGGUCCCCGUGUCCCCAGGGGUGAGCUCAGGGUGCAGCUCGCUGCUCUGGGCCCAAUCCAGUGUGUGCUGGCAUCAACUGGGGCUUCUGCUGAUGUUGCUGCCUUUGGCUUUUGGUCUGUGUCACUAACUCAUACCACUGAAACUUUUUCUCCCCCUCCCUCCGUGUAUAGUAGCGUGUUUUCACACCCGGCGGGCGCUUCAGCAGAGGUGUGCUAUGCAAGAAAGCCAGAAAGCAUUUGCUGGGUGGAAUUUAGAGAAACUGUGCAUUAGAGAUCAGCAGUGUCUUUGAGACCAUUCUUAGAGGUCCUGGCAAGCAAAACUUUAUUGAAGUGCUUCGAAAGGUAUGGCCAGGCUGGGAGCCCUUAACGUCGUGCCACCGAGGACGUGCGUCAGCGCCGGCCGUGCUGAGGCACAGCGGUGUUCAAAUCGUGAGUCUGAUUGUUUUUCUGUUGGCCAGAUCCUUGUGAAAUGCCUUGUUGCAAGAAGAAGCAGAGAAGAUCUUGUGCUUGCUAGAAGUGGUUGGUUUUGUGCUGACAGAAGCGCUGCUCGCAGCCUGCUCACUGCGCGGUUCGAUUCCCGCAGCUCGCUGUGCUGGGAAUUGCAGCUCCUGCAGUCUCCUGAGAACAUUUUUUCUGAGUGACUCCGGCUUCCAGACACAUUUGCCAUGAGAAGGGUUCCAAUCCUUUCCUGUAUUUGCCCUGAGUCAUGAAUGGAUAUGUGUGAUGCCUGCAAGUAAAACUGGUGAGUUGUCAAGCCUGAGUUUGCAAUAACUCUCACUUACUCUUUCAUGCAAAUUAUCUUUCCCUCAUUUUUUUUCCCUCUCCUUUUUAAUGUGGUGGUGGGGGGGUUGUAUUGUCUUUGUUUUAAAGCAAAUCACCACUGUUCUUAAAAAACCCAAAGCAACCAUCAUUGUCAUGAAAUAGCAGA